AACGAACGCUGGCGGCAUGCCUAACACAUGCAAGUCGAACGAGACCUUCGGGUCUAGUGGCGCACGGGUUCGUAACGCGUGGGAACCUGCCCUUAGGUUCGGAAUAACUCCCCGAAAGGGGUGCUAAUACCGGAUAAUGUCUUCGGACCAAAGAUUUAUCGCCUUUGGAUGGGCCCGCGUUGGAUUAGCUUGUUGGUAGGGUAAAAGCCUACCAAGGCGACGAUCCAUAGCUGGUCUGAGAGGAUGAUCAGCCACACUGGGACUGAGACACGGCCCAGACUCCUACGGGAGGCAGCAGUGGGGAAUAAUGGACGAUGGGCGAAAGCCUGAUCCAGCAAUGCCGCGUGAGUGAUGAAGGCCUUAGGGUUGUAAAGCUCUUUUACCCGGGAUGAUAAUGACAGUACCGGGAGAAGAAGCUCCGGCUAACUCCGU
rnacentral:rRNA from 1 species